rnacentral:rRNA from 1 species
AGUGAACGCUGGCGGUAGGCCUAACACAUGCAAGUCGAACGGCAGCACAGUAAGAGCUUGCUCUUACGGGUGGCGAGUGGCGGACGGGUGAGGAAUAUAUCGGAAUCUACUUUUUCGUGGGGGAUAACGUAGGGAAACUUACGCUAAUACCGCAUACGACCUACGGGUGAAAGCAGGGGAUCUUCGGACCUUGCGCGAUUGAAUGAGCCGAUGUCGGAUUAGCUAGUUGGCGGGGUAAAGGCCCACCAAGGCGACGAUCCGUAGCUGGUCUGAGAGGAUGAUCAGCCACACUGGAACUGAGACACGGUCCAGACUCCUACGGGAGGCAGCAGUGGGGAAUAUUGGACAAUGGGCGCAAGCCUGAUCCAGCCAUACCGCGUGGGUGAAGAAGGCCUUCGGGUUGUAAAGCCCUUUUGUUGGGAAAGAAAAGCAGCAGGUUAAUACCCCGCUGUCCUGACGGUACCCAAAGAAUAAGCACCGGCUAACUUCGUG